UCCAGAGGGGGGUUGAGGGGGGAGGAGGAUGUGGCAUCAAAUCUAAUUUGGGCAGAGUGAAGUCAUAUAUCAGGGCGUUUGGAAAGAUUCAGACCUGGACCUUGACAAUAGUAAUCAAGCCUUCCUCUGCAGGUGUUGGGAGGAUUCACUAAUCUAAGAACACCUAAAUCCUGUAUACCGUUACUAGCAGGUUUAGACUAAGAUCAAGCCAAGGAUACCAGUGAAUUUCUGGUUUCAGUUCAUUGGCACGUUUGUUAAUUACUAGUUGUUGCACAGCACAGAACCACAUCACUGGGCAGCUCAGAGCCUCGCACACGGUACUCACAGCCAGUCCAGAGCAGGGAUCCUGGUGCAGAGGAUGCCAACAUCAAGGUCUGCACUGGGACGCAGCUGAGAGGAGAUCCCCUUCCAAGCCGGAGUGUGCUGUCAGGGUUAUUUCCAUGCUCAGGGCACGACGGUCUCACUAGUGAGGGAUUCAAACAAUGAAAGAUAUAAUACAAUGCCUACAGAAACUCUUUGAAAAGAUACAUGAGAGAGAAGAGUUCUUCCCAACUUAUUGUGUGAGGCCAGAUUUCUUGGAUACAGA
rnacentral:lncRNA from 1 species